rnacentral:rRNA from 1 species
CUGCGGUACCCUGACCGUGCGAAGGUAGCAUAAUAAUUUGUCUUAUAAUUGAAGAAUGGUAUGAAUGAUUCGACAAGGGUAUAACUGUCUCUUAAGUAUUUAAUAUAAGUUGACAUUUAGGUUAAAAGGCCUAAAUAAAAUUAAAAGACGAGAAGACCCUAUUGUGCUUAUAUGGAUAAACUAAGAAGUAAUGAUAUUAAACAAAUAAACAUAGUUAUUUUUGAAUUUUGGUUGGGGCGACUAAGGAAUAACAAAAGCUUCCUAUUUAGUAAGCUAAUAAUAUUUUUUGAUCCAAGAGAUUUUGAAUUAAGAAUAAGUUACCAUAGGGAUAACAGCGUUAUUUUUCUUGAGAGCUCUAAUCGAGAGAGAAGUUUGCGACCUCGAUGUUGGAUUAGGGAUAAAAAAGGUUGUAGGAGCUUUUUUGCUUAGUCUGUUCGACUAUUAAAAUCCU